rnacentral:rRNA from 1 species
CCUACGGGAGGCAGCAGUGAGGAAUAUUGGUCAAUGGACGAGAGUCUGAACCAGCCAAGUAGCGUGAAGGAUGACGGCCCUAUGGGUUGUAAACUUCUUUUAUAAAGGAAUAAAACGAGGCACGUGUGCCUUUUUGCAUGUACUUUAUGAAUAAGGAUCGGCUAACUCCGUUCCAUCAGCCACGGUAAUACGGAGGAUCCGAGCGUUCUCCGGAUUUAUUGGGUUUAAAGGGAGCGUAGAUGGGUUGUUAAGUCAGUUGUGAAAGUUUGCGGCUCAACCGUAAAAUUGCAAUUGAUACUGGCAGUCUUGAGUACAGUUGAGGUAAGCGGAAUUCGUGGUGUAGCGGUGAAAUGCUUAGAUAUCACGAAGAACACCGAUGGCGAAGGCAGCUUACUAAACUGUGACUGACAUUGAUGCGCGAAAGUGUGGGUAUCAAACAGGAUUAGAUACCCUGGUAGUC